GAUCCAACCAUGACCCCCACACCCUAUAGCCUAACUCGCUUUUGGAUUGAAGAAGACACAAGCUCCCCAUGAAACGCACCAAAAGACCAUGUACGUCCUCUUUCCCGAUCCCAACAUCAGAUAUACUAAAUUCGUCUCAUUUCUCCCAAACUUCAAUGUUCGCCUUCCUUCUCUCUACCUCAACCUUUUUCUCUCAUGGCUAAGGAUCUGCAGGUUCAAUUUAACAGGUAAUGCCCGUUACUAAUGUGAAAUUGGGAUUUUAGGGUUCAUAUUUGGUUUAUUAUCUGUUCUGGUCAAUUGCAAUUUGUAUCUUCUCAAUGAGAACCCCACAAAACAGCGUUUGUGGAGGAACCUCCCCGUUUCUUUUGACCUCCGACGUCGGAAGUGACGAUCACGAUUCUCGGUUAGCCAUCGCCGAUCUCAUAAUUUUUCCCUCUCCACCGUUACGAGACCCAAAGAUGUCCCUUUCUCAUAUGCAGGUAGGCAUAUGAUGAUGGUGAGUGGUGGCAGGCAUUGAUUUGUGACUGGUUUUAUUCAACAUCUAAGAGUGUUCUGUUUUUGUUGCGCACCAGUUGUUCGACGAAUUGUCUGAUACUCUGAUUCUCACGUUGGACUACUUGGAAUUUUCACAUGAGCAACACAUGUCUAUUGAAAUUACGAAAAAGUACCUACAAGCUUUUCGUCCGUGUUUAACGUUGCAUACUGCGGUUCAAAUGGAGAACUCCCAGUGACAGCUGGUCGGUUAGCUGGUACAAUAGUUUUGGAAAGACGUUGAGUUUUUAAAAGUUGGGUGAAGUAACCAGUAACCACACACCAACAAGUGUGAUUUUUGGCUUGCUAAUUCCACAAUUAUCAAUCUAGCUUGUAUCCAUCCAUGAUGUACUAUGUGUACGUGGUUAUUGGAACAUGCCCAAAAGCAUAAAUUUAUCAAAAGACCAAGUAGUUGAAUGGUUUAAUGAACAAAGGCAAUGGGUCAGCCUCUUUAAUUUGACGGAUACCCUAUAUUUUUCUCAAAUAUCACGUAAAUUAUCAUACAUUAUUUUAUGAUUUACAUGUUCACUGAACAGCUAUUGUUUGAUGUUUAAUUAUAUAUAUGAAAUCAAAUAUACUCAAUGUUUCA